AGGGCGGGCGGCGACUGGAA
rnacentral:miRNA from 1 species